rnacentral:rRNA from 1 species
GACGAACGCUGGCGGCGUGCUUAACACAUGCAAGUCGAACGAUGAAGCCCAGUUUGCUGGGUGGAUUAGUGGCGAACGGGCGAGUAACACGUGGGCAACCUGCCCCAAACUCUGGGAUAACUCCUCGAAAGAGGUGCUAAUACCGGAUACGAAAUAGACAGACAUCUGUACUAGUUGGAAAGUUUUUCGGUUUGGGAUGGGCCCGCGGCCUCGAGACUUGUUGGUGAGGUAAGGGCUCACCAAGGCUACGACGGGUAACCGGCCUGAGAGGGCACCCGGUAACCCUGGGACUGAGACACGGCCCAGACUCCUACGGGAGUCAGCAGUGGGGAAUAUUGCGCAAUGGGCGAAAGCCUGACGCAGCGACGCCGCGUGAGGGAUGAAGGUCUUCGGAUCGUAAACCUCUUUCAGUAGGGACGAAGCGAAAGUGACGGUACCUAAAGAAGAAGCACCGGCUAACUACGUGCCAGCAGCCGCAGUAA